rnacentral:rRNA from 1 species
UACGUAGGGGGCAAGCGUUGUCCGGAAUUAUUGGGCGUAAAGAGCUCGUAGGCGGUUUGUUGCGUCGGCUGUGAAAUCCCGAGGCUCAACCUCGGGUCUGCAGUCGAUACGAGCAAACUAGAGUGUUGCAGGGGAGACUGGAAUUCCUGGUGUAGCCGUGAAAUGCGCAGAUAUCAGGAGGAACACCGGUGGCGAAGGCGGGUCUCUGGGCAACAACUGACGCUGAGGAGCGAAAGCGUGGGGAGCGAACAGG